rnacentral:lncRNA from 1 species
UUGGGAAUUUAUUUUAAUUAAAUCAAAUCAAACAAAACAAGGUUAGAGUUAAUACAAUAAACAAAUAAGUAAGAAAAGGGAAGAAAUGUUGAAUUGCCUCUUUGCAAAAAAUCCACAUUUGAUGGGGCUUUAGGCCCAAAACUUGUCCUAUUUCUAAAAAUGGACCCUGUUAAAAAUUCAAAUGGGGGUUCAGCCCAUUUAAAUCUUCUUCCACCUGCCACUUUAAUUCUUUUGGGCUGCUGCGCAAAAGACUUGGGCUUAUUACUGUAUAUGAGUCGUAUCUUUUGAGCCAUCUUCCUGCAUAUCGGGUUGUAUACC